rnacentral:rRNA from 1 species
CGACUAAGCGUACACGGUGGAUGCCCUGGCAGUCAGAGGCGAUGAAGGGCGUGCUAAUCUGCGAUAAGCGCCGGUAAGGUGAUAUGAACCGUUAUAACCGGCGAUACCCGAAUGGGGAAACCCAGUGUGAUUCGUCACACUAUCAUUAACUGAAUCCAUAGGUUAAUGAGGCGAACCGGGGGAACUGAAACAUCUAAGUACCCCGAGGAAAAGAAAUCAACCGAGAUUCCCCCAGUAGCGGCGAGCGAACGGGGAGGAGCCCAGAGCCUGAAUCAGCAUGUGUGUUAGUGGAAGCGUCUGGAAAGGCGCGCGAUACAGGGUGACAGCCCCGUACACAAAAGCGCAUGUGCUGUGAGCUCGAUGAGUAGGGCGGGACACGUGGUAUCCUGUCUGAAUAUGGGGGGACCAUCCUCCAAGGCUAAAUACUCCUGACUGACCGAUAGUGAACCAGUACCGUGAGGGAAAGGCGAAAAGAACCCCGGCGAGGGGAGUGAAAAAGAACCUGAAACCGUGUACGUACAAGCAGUGGGAGCACCCUUUGGGGUGUGACUGCGUACCUUUUGUAUAAUGGGUCAGCGACUUAUAUUCUGUAGCAAGGUUAACCGUAUAGGGGAGCCGGAGGGAAACCGAGUCUUAACCGGGCGUUAAGUUGCAGGGUAUAGACCCGAAACCCGGUGAUCUAGCCAUGGGCAGGUUGAAGGUUGGGUAACACUAACUGGAGGACCGAACCGACUAAUGUUGAAAAAUUAGCGGAUGACCUGUGGCUGGGGGUGAAAGGCCAAUCAAACCGGGAGAUAGCUGGUUCUCCCCGAAAGCUAUUUAGGUAGCGCCUCGUGAAUUCAUCUCCGGGGGUAGAGCACUGUUUCGGCUAGGGGGCCAUCCCGGCUUACCAACCCGAUGCAAACUGCGAAUACCGGAGAAUGUUAUCACGGGAGACACACGGCGGGUGCUAACGUCCGUCGUGAAGAGGGAAACAACCCAGACCGCCAGCUAAGGUCCCAAAGUCAUGGUUAAGUGGGAAACGAUGUGGGAAGGCCCAGACAGCCAGGAUGUUGGCUUAGAAGCAGCCAUCAUUUAAAGAAAGCGUAAUAGCUCACUGGUCGAGUCGGCCUGCGCGGAAGAUGUAACGGGGCUAAACCAU